rnacentral:rRNA from 1 species
UACGGAGGAUGCGAGCGUUAUCCGGAUUUAUUGGGUUUAAAGGGUGCGUAGGCGGGCUUUUAAGUCAGCGGUAAAAAUUCGGGGCUCAACCCCGUCCGGCCGUUGAAACUGGGGGCCUUGAGUGGGCGAGAAGAAGGCGGAAUGCGUGGUGUAGCGGUGAAAUGCAUAGAUAUCACGCAGAACCCCGAUUGCGAAGGCAGCCUUCCGGCGCCCUACUGACGCUGAGGCACGAAAGCGUGGGGAGCAAAUAGG